AUUGAACGCUGGCGGCAGGCCUAACACAUGCAAGUCGAACGAGUGGCGGACGGGUGAGUAAUGUCUGGGAAACUGCCCGAUGGAGGGGGAUAACUACUGGAAACGGUAGCUAAUACCGCAUACCAUCGGAUGUGCCCAGAUGGGAUUAGCUAGUAGGUGGGGUAAUGGCUCACCUAGGCGACGAUCCCUAGCUGGUCUGAGAGGAUGACCGCCCACACGGGACUUGAGACACGGUCCAGAUCCCUACGGGGGGCAGCAUUGGGAAAUAUUGCACAAGGGGCGCAGGCCUGAUGCGGCCAGGCCGCGUGUAUGAAGAAGGCCUUCGGUUUGUAAAGUACUUUCAGCGAGGAGGCUUUACUCGCAGAAGAAGCACCGGCUAAUCCCGUGCCAGCCGCCGCGGUAAAC
rnacentral:rRNA from 1 species